UUUUCUUUCAAUCACAAUGCGGAGCAGAUGGGAAAGUUGGUUUUAUCAAGGAAAAUGCCAAAAUGAACAUUCAAGUCUGGAGUGGAAGGAGUUACCAUGGAAAUGGGGCAGAAACUCAACUGUCCAGCAGCAAAACAUGUCUCCCACUGUUGUUUUCACAAAUUUCAGAAAUGGUUUAUUGUCUUCAGAAAAAGUCUGUUAGCAUCUCAACCGUAAUGCUAACUUAUAAGAGGUUUUGCAGGCAAUUUGUCAUUGGAUGAAACAGUUUCAGAAAAAAACUUCUACGACAGGAAAAGUUCCUGAUUUUAAAAUGUCUGAAGAGAGCUGCUGACAGAGAUAUAAAAAACACAGAUUCUGCCAUGCUAAUGGCCGUGCAACAGAGUUGGAGCGUAUCUCCUGUCGAAAAACAUCUCUAGACAUUAUGAACCAUAUGACUAAGACUGAAAAUCAUCAAUAAAACACAAGUGAAUUGAUAGCUCCAACACCAAUUAAGCAGACCUGAGCAGCUGAUCAAGGAUCACCAGAAACUCUGCAGAACUUCAGUACCCAGUCCUCAGUAAGUCCUCAAUACCCAGGACUGGAAUCCAGAGUUAUGCUGGAGAAAAAGCAGCCAGGCUAAAGCAUUUAAAGUGGAAACUUUUGUUGUGGCUCAAAAAUCCAGGAUUGGGAUGGUGGAAGGAGCAGAAGAUCAGAAGAUCAGAGAUCAGGCAGAGAUCCACUGAUGCCCCUGAGGGAACUGUUUAACUAAUGUGUUAGGUUAAACCAAAAAUUUUCAGCACUCACCUUCAUGUCUUUCCAAACCUGUAAAACUUUUGGUCGUCUUUGAAACAUAAAUGUAGAUGUUUUUAAUGAAAUCUGAGAAAUUUCUGUCCCUCUAUUUCACAGUUUAUGCAACUACCACUUUCAAGCCUCAGAAAGGUAGUAAAGACAGCAUUAAAGUAAUCCAUGUGACUCCAGUUGUUUAACCUUAAUUUUAUGAAGUGAUGUGAAUGGUUUAUAUGCACAAAAAACAAUGCAUUUUUAUUCACACACAAACAAAAAUCUUAUGGUGCUUUUGUGAAAAUGCGUUGGAGAUACCUAAUGUAUGAAUAAAGACAAUUUUGUUUUCUGUUUUUUGCAUACACAGGGCAUCUGUUAAAAAUAUCUUUAUUUGCAUUCUGCACAAAAGUUUUUUAUGGGUUUGGAGUGACAGAGUAAGUAAUUAAUGGCAAAAUAAGCAUUUUUUGGGUGAGAUGUGUUCUAAUGUGGUUAGAAUUGGUCAUUGUCCUGUGUUAUAAACAUUUUCAGUAUUUCAAAGAUUAUCGUUUUGAAAAAUCAGUUUCAAAUAAAUACUGCUCCUUUGAAAGUUCUAUUUGAAGAAUACUGAAAUAUGUUUUCCACAAAAAAUAUUGUGCAGCACAACUGUUUUCCACAUUGAUAAUAAUCUAAAAUGUUUCUUGAGCAGCAAAUCAUAUUAAAAUAUUUUCUGAAGGGUCA